ACAUUUCCACUGAAGAGAAGACCUGGAGUGACAGCCGACAGGCCUGUAUGCGGUCAGGUGCCGACCUGGCAAUCAUCAACAGCAGAGAGGAGCAGGUUGUUUUUGAUGGUCUGUCGGAAGAAUUCUGGAUCGGUCUUAGUGACAGUGAGAGUGAAGGUACCUGGAAAUGGGUGGAUGGAACAACAAUUCCUGUCCAGAAAGGGUUCUGGCUACCAGAGCAGCCUGAUAACUACGAAGGAAAUGAAGACUGCGUGGAGUUCAAUACCUUAUAUUCUGAUCCUUUUCAUAGAUGGAACGACC